AACGCGAAGAACCUUACCAGCCCUUGACAUGUCCCGUAUGAGCACCAGAGAUGGAGCUCUUCAGUUCGGCUGGCGGGAACACAGGUGCUGCAUGGCUGUCGUCAGCUCGUGUCGUGAGAUGUUGGGUUAAGUCCCGCAACGAGCGCAACCCUCGCCCUUAGUUGCCAUCAUUUAGUUGGGCACUCUAAGGGGACUGCCGGUGAUAAGCCGCGAGGAAGGUGGGGAUGACGUCAAGUCCUCAUGGCCCUUACGGGCUGGGCUACACACGUGCUACAAUGGCGGUGACAGUGGGAUGCAAUGGAGCAAUCCUGCGCAAAUCUCAAAAAGCCGUCUCAGUUCGGAUUGUGCUCUGCAACUCGAGCACAUGAAGUUGGAAUCGCUAGUAAUCGCAGAUCAGCACGCUGCGGUGAAUACGUUCCCGGGCCUUGUA
rnacentral:rRNA from 1 species